AUUGAACGCUGGCGGCAGGCCUAACACAUUCAAGUCGAGCGGAUGAAGAGAGCUUGCUCUCUGAUUCAGCGGCGGACGGGUGAGUACUGCCUAGGAAUCUGCCUGGUAGUGGGGGACAACAGUUGGAAACGACUGCUAAUACCGCAUACGUCCUACGGGAGAAAGCAGGGGACCUUCGGGCCUUGCGCUAUCAGAUGAGCCUAGGUCGGAUUAGCUAUUAGGUGAGGUAAUGGCUCACCUAGGCGACGACCCGUAACUGGUCUGAGAGGAUGAGCAGUCAAAAUGGAACUGAGACACGGUCCAGACUCCUACGGGAGGCAGCAGUGGGGAAUAUUGGACAAUGGGCGAAAGCCUGAUCCAGCCAUGCCGCGUGUGUGAAGAAGGUCUUCGGAUUGUAAAGCACUUUAAGUUGGGAGGAAGGGCAGUAAGUUAAUACCUUGCUGUUUUGACUUUACCGACAGAAUAAGCACCGGCUAACUUCGUGCCAGCCGCCGCAGUAAUAC
rnacentral:rRNA from 1 species